rnacentral:rRNA from 1 species
AAAAAUUUUCGAUCGUGAUUUUUUCUAAGUGUUGGGAAGCAAACCUUCCACGAUUGGGAUGACGAGUCAGGUUUAGAGGGGAGGGCACGAAUCUGUGCGCACGACCGGCGGGCAUUCAGUGGAUCGUAGAAGCAAAGGCACUCUGCCCAGCUUACAAUGCCCCGUGCCGCUAUUUUAAAGUCGUCUGCAAAGGUUUCAGCCCGCGACGGCUGGAAAUUUCGCAUCCAACGUGGGCCGCGUAGCGUUCCGCCCGCGCUGGCGUACCUUCGACAUUGUGCCAGUGGCGGAUGUUUGAACACCCCUACCGUGAGGUCGGAGGCAGUCCGGCGGGCACAGGCACCGCUUUUUAGCCGGAAUUCAUGACCUUAGCAGGCCAGUUCAGUAUAAUCCCGGCACACGGUAGCUUCGCCGCAGCUGGCUUUUCAACCAAGCGCGAUGACCAAUUGUGUGAGAUCAACGGUCCCUCUCGUACUAGGUUGAAUUACUAUCGCCGGCGCACUCAUCAGUCUAAGGGUAAACUAACCUGUCUCACGACGCGGUUAAAACCCAGACUCACGUUCCUAUGGUGGCGAUGAACAAUCCAACACUUGGUGAAUUCUGCUUCACAAUGAUAGGAAGAAGCGAAUACGAAGGCGAUCAAAAAAGCAACCGUCCGCUAUGAACGUUGGCCUGCACAAGCGAGUGUCAUGUGUAACUUUUUCUGACACUCUGCUUCAAAAAUCCGAAAAGCGUCUAAAGGAUCGAUAUGGCCACGCUUUCACGGUUAGUAUUCGUACUGGAAAAUCAGAACUCAAAACGAGCUUUUACUUUUGUUCACACCGAGAUUUCUGUUCUUCGUUGAGCUAUCUUAGCGACAGCCUGCGUUAUACUUUUAACAGUAUGUGACCGCCCCAAGCCAACUCCCACCUGACAUAUGUGUUCCGCCCGGAUGCGGCCGGGAUCGAGCCUUGGAGCCAAAAGGAGGGGCUAAGCCCGCCUCCGUCUCACGAAUAAGUUAAAAUAACUGUUAAAGAGUGAGUAUUUCACUUUCGCCGGCAAGCGCGUCCCACUUCUCCUAACUCCUCUCAAGUCAUUAUCACAAGUCGGACUAGAGUCAAGCUCAAUCAGGGUCUUCUUCCCGCUGAUUGGUACCAAGCCCGUUCCCUUUGGCUGUGGUUUCGCUGAGCAUAGGUAGACAGGGACAAUGCGGAAUCUCGUUUAAUCCAUUCAUUAUGCGCACAAUUAGAUAGCACGGAGGCAUGUGGCUUACCUAAGAGAGUAUAGUUACUCCCGCCGAGUUUACCCGCGCGUGGUUGAAUUUAUUCACUUUCGAAUUUCAGCAGCACUGGGCCAGAAAUCACCAUUGCGGAAGCAUCCGCAGGGACCAUGCAAUGCACUUUGUUUUAGAUUAAACCAGAUCGCAUUCCCUUGCCCGUAACCAGUUCUGAGUCCGCGACUUUCGACGCCCGGGAAGGCCCCCCGUUUGAGGAAGGGCCGUUCCAGUCCCGUCCCCGGCCGGCAACGCGGCCGACCGCUCUCGCACGGUGCGGCUCGAGCAGUCCGCCGACAGACCGGCGGCAUCGGGGCUGGGACCCCAUGCCCAGCCCUCAGAGACCAAUCCUAUUUCCCGAAGUUCGGAUCCGUUUCUGCCGAUCCUUGCCUACAUUGUCCAUUUGGCACAGAGGCCUAGUUCACCUUGGCCAGACCUAUGCGGUUAUGAGGUUCGACCGGGCGUGAGCGGCACUCGGUACCUCCGGAUCUUUCAAGGGCCGCCGGGCCGCACCGGACACCAGCGCGACGUGCGGUCUCUUCGAGCGCUGGACCCUACUCGCGCUGAGCGUUCUCCAGGCGUGGGGCGGGCGAUUAAGCAGAAAAGAAUAACUCUUCCGAGGCCCCCCGCAGCGUCUCCGGACUCCCUACGUUGCCGUCGCCGCCACGUCCCGGUCCGGAUUUGUCCGCGAUUCCUUCGAGCCAGCUCGCGCCGGUGACGCCGCUUUUGAGGGCUUCCCCCGCCUUAGAGAUCGGCUUAACCCGUAUGGUGCAAGAUAGCCGUUUCACAUGACCUUUCCCCUCUUCGGCCUUCAAAAGUUCCUAUUUAAUUAUUUGCUUAACGUUCACCACCAAAGCAUCGCGCCCGACGGCCGCGUCCACCGGCCAGCUCGCCGCCACCAGCGUUUUUUGCGGCAGGCUCGCCCGCGCCCUCCUAUCCAUCGAGGCUGAACGAUCGGCCCGAUGCCGGGUGUGGGUCGCUGACCGCUUAAGCGGCCAUCCAUUUUCGGGGUAGUGAUCUCGCAGUGUAGUAUUGUUACACACUCAACCUUAGACCGAAGAUUUGUCGACUUCCAUGACCAACGUCCUUGCUGUGCUUAAUCGACCAACACCCUUGGUGGCGACUAUUAGAGUUACGCCGCAGUUGGCCAACCGUAACCCGGCUUACCGGUUCAUCCCGACUCGCCAGUUUGCUUACAAAAAUGGCCCACUGGAGCCUCUCGAUUCCGUGGGCGCGCUGAAUCAAAAGCCAGCCGCCGUCCUACAUAUUUAAGUUUGAGGAAAUAGCGUCGGAGGGCGCGUUGCGACCCCGACUGCCUCUAAUCAUGGCCUGUUACCGAUAGACUCGCCGACGAAGCUCCAGCUAUCCUGAGGGAAAACUUCGGAGGACCAGCUACGAGGUUCGAUUAGUACUUUCGCCCUUACCAAGUCAGAACGAACAUCAUUGCACGUCAGUAUCGCUGCGGGCCCUCCACCAGAGUUUCUCUGGCUUCGCCCCGCUCAGCAUUAGUUUCACCAUCUUUCGGGGUCCGACAGGCAUUGCUCCACUCACCCUUCACAGUAAGAUCUGGGGUCGGUCCGGCGGCUGCACCCCGCGCAGGGCGAUCCGCCACAUCAGCUUCUUGCCGCCUUCCGGUGUUUCCAAACGCCCGUUGGCUAGAGCCUGUCAGACUCCAUUGUCCGAUGUUUCCAAGACGGGUCGAUGGGAGAGCCGAGCGGCAGGUUGCCAAGAGGCGCGCAUGUGCCCGAGGCACGCCGAGACCAGCAGCGCGCGCUGCCAUCCUUCGCGCGCCGGCAGAACGUGUCCACGGCGGGGAUCUACCGGCCGCCUGGGCUUAGGCCGCCGGGUGCGGCGCGCCAACGGUCCAACGCACCGGCGAGCGACGGGACCAGCCCGUAAAAAGGGGUCGUUACGAUCCGGCGGGCGCAUCGCGCCCCAUCGUUUCCUCCGAAUUUCAGAGCACUCUUUGACUCUCUUUUUCAAGUCCUUUUCAUUUUCCCUAGCCAGGUUAAUUGUAUCGCUAGUCGGCUCUUUUCGCGGCUAUUUAGCCUUGGAACGGAAAUUUUAUCCGCUCCCAAUUUUGGGGCUGCAUUGCCCAAACACCCGGACUCGCCAACCAGCGCCUCGUGGUGCGGCAGGGUCCGCGACCGACGGGCUCUCACCCUCCCUGGCCGCCCCUUUCCCCCAAGAGGGACUUGGGCCCGGAUCCGUCGCUGAGACGCUUCUCCAGACUACAAAUUCGAGGUGGCCGGGCCGCGCCGAUCCCCAAAGCUGGCUAUUCCCGGUCGCUCGCUUACUAGGCGGUCCUUUAUAAGUUGCUUACUCCUCCGCUUAUGAAUAUGCCUUAAAUCUCAGCGCGGUGGCGCCCGCCUGACCUGGGGGUCGUGGAUCCGACGGCGUUCUUGAAGCCCGUCGCGCAUGGGCUCCUUGCACGCGGCCGCAUUUAGCUUAGGAUCGAUACACAGCGAUUCAGCGUCAAUUUGUGUCUGUCACCAUUCGCCGUGUCCGACCCGACCACCCGACAUCAUUUCAACCGCCCGCGCGCCAUGACGGAAGGCUCAAUUCCUCCGCUCCGGCCCGCCCGCCUUCCAAUGCUAUUGCCUGCGCAGGCGGGGGCUACUGAGCGAUGUUGAGGCAUGCACGCCCAGGAGGCAGGCUGUUGCCUCGCAAAGUAGCCCUCGGCGCCAAACUUGCGCAUUGCAAAGACUCGAUGGUUCACGGGCAUUCUGCAAUUCACACAAGGACUUCGCAUUUCGCUACGUUUCUUCAUCGAUGCGAGAGCCAAGAUAUCCGUGCCAAGAGCG